GUAGGGAAUAUUGGUCAAUGGGCGGGAGCCUGAACCAGCCAAGUCGCGUGAAGGAAGAAGGAUCUAUGGUUCGUAAACUUCUUUUGCAGGGGAAUAAAGUGCAGGACGUGUCCUGUUUUGUAUGUACCCUGAGAAUAAGGAUCGGCUAACUCCGUGCCAGCAGCCGCGGUAAUACGGAGGAUCCGAGCGUUAUCCGGAUUUAUUGGGUUUAAAGGGUGCGUAGGUGGUUUGAUAAGUCAGCGGUGAAAGUUUGCAGCUUAACUGUAAAAAUGCCGUUGAAACUGUCGGACUUGAGUGUAAAUGAGGUAGGCGGAAUGCGUGGUGUAGCGGUGAAAUGCAUAGAUAUCACGCAGAACUCCGAUUGCGAAGGCAGCUUACUAAGCUACAACUGACACUGAAGCACGAAAGCGUGGGGAUCAAACAGGAUUAGAUACCCCGGUAGUCC
rnacentral:rRNA from 1 species